GAACUUAAGCAUAUCAAUAAGCGGAGGAAAAGAAACCAACAGGGAUUGCCUCAGUAACGGCGAGUGAAGCGGCAACAGCUCAAAUUUGAAAUCUGGCUCUUUCAGGGUCCGAGUUGUAAUUUGUAGAAGAUGCUUUGGGUGUAGCUCCGGUCUAAGUUCCUUGGAACAGGACGUCAUAGAGGGUGAGAAUCCCGUAUGUGACUGGGUGCUUUCGCUCGUGUAAAGCUCUUUCGACGAGUCGAGUUGUUCGGGAAUGCAGCUCAAAAUGGGUGGUAAAUUUCAUCUAAAGCUAAAUAUUGGCCAGAGACCGAUAGCGCACAAGUAGAGUGAUCGAAAGAUGAAAAGCACUUUGGAAAGAGAGUUAAACAGUACGUGAAAUUGUUGAAAGGGAAGCGCUUGCAACCAGACUUGCGCGCUGUUGAUCAUCCGAGCUUUUGCCCGGUGCACUCGGCAGCGUUCAGGCCAGCAUCGGUUUUGGUGGGCGGAUAAAGGCCUUGGGAAUGUAGCUUCUUUCGGGGAGUGUUAUAGCCCUCGGUGCAAUGCGCCCUACCGGGACCGAGGACCGCGCUUCGGCUAGGAUGCUGGCGUAAUGGUUGUAAGCGACCCGUCUUGAAACACGGACCAAGGAGUCUAACAUCUAUGCGAGUGUUUGGGUGUCAAACCCAUACGCGUAAUGAAAGUGAACGGAGGUGAGAACCCCUAAGGGUGCAUCAUCGACCGAUCCUGAUGUCUUCGGAUGGAUUUGAGUAAGAGCAUAGCUGUUGGGACCCGAAA
rnacentral:rRNA from 1 species